AGUAACUUUUUCAAUCCAAAACAUUAAAUUUAAGACGAGGAAACUAGUAUUAUUGCAGAAAUCCAAAUAUUUUUCAAGAAAAACUUGAUCUGAUGCUUGAUGGCAUUUUGAUGCAGGGUUUCAUCUGUGUCAGUUCGGUGACUAAAGGUUCUGCGGCCGACCGUUGUGGGAUUGGCCGCCUCUUGGAAGAGGCAAAGGCAACCAACUAUCUCCUGUUGAUUUCCCGAUUAGAAGGAAAGAGCGUAAUCCCAUCAAAUGUAAGCUCUACUGGGCUAAUUAACUGCUGCGACCAAGCCGAGAUAAGAAGCACUCUUGUUUCUGUUGAGAGCUGUGUAGGCCUGCAACACUUCCUUUUUAAGUUUUGUUUCCUGAUUGUUGUUACAUCCACUUUCUCAAUCAUAAUAUCCCUUCAAAACUAAAGUUAGCACACCCUUACAACUGAAGGAUCCUAACAUAUCUGAACUGGAUGAAACUGGCGUCCAUUAGUUACUUAGAUUAUCUUCAAAAGGAUGGCCUUCUGUUGCUAUCAUACAAGGAAAACAGAUAGAGGAUUCAAUUCAAACACUUCAUUAUCUCUCACUGUGCAGACUGAAUCAUCAAAGCACAAAGCUUGUUUGUUUGUUUUGUUCUCCCCACG
rnacentral:misc_RNA from 1 species